AUCGCCUCUUGCAAGCACAACACAUAAGAGGUCCCGCCUGCCCUGUGACUCAUUAGUUUAACGGCCGCAGUAUUUUGACUGUGCAAAGGUAGCGUAAUCACUUGUCUUUUAAAUGAAGACCAGUAUGAAUGGCACAACGAGGGCCAAGCUGUCUCCUUUUUCUAGUCAAUGAAAUUGAUUUUCCUGUGCAGAAGCAGGAAUACCCCCAUAAGACGAGAAGACCCUAUGGAGCUUCAGACAUAAGGCAGCCCAUGUUAAAAGCCCAGAUUAAUGGAAAUAACAAAAUGGCCUUCUGCCCAUCUGUCUUUGGUUGGGGCGACCAUGGAGCAACAAGAAUCCUCCAUGUGGAAUGGGGUCACAACCCCCUAAAGCCAGAGCCACAGCUCUUGCAAACAGAACAUCUGACCACCAAGAUCCGGUCUAACCGAUCAACGGACCGAGUUACCCUAGGGAUAACAGCGCAAUCCCCUUUUAGAGCCCAUAUCGACAAGGGGGUUUACGACCUCGAUGUUGAUCA
rnacentral:rRNA from 1 species